rnacentral:rRNA from 1 species
CAUGCAGUCGAGGGGCAGCGGGGUGUAGCAAUACACUGCCGGCGACCGGCGCACGGGUGCGUAACGCGUAUGCAACCUACCCAUAACAGGGGCAUAACACUGAGAAAUUGGUACUAAUUCCCCAUAACAUUCGAAGAGGCAUCUCUUUGGGUUGAAAACUCCGGUGGUUAUGGAUGGGCAUGCGUUGUAUUAGCUAGUUGGUGAGGUAACGGCUCACCAAGGCGACGAUACAUAGGGGGACUGAGAGGUUAACCCCCCACAUUGGUACUGAGACACGGACCAAACUCCUACGGGAGGCAGCAGUGAGGAAUAUUGGUCAAUGGACGCAAGUCUGAACCAGCCAUGCCGCGUGCAGGAUGACGGCUCUAUGAGUUGUAAACUGCUUUUGUACGAGGGUAAACUCACCUACGUGUAGGUGACUGAAAGUAUCGUACGAAUAAGGAUCGGCUAACUCCGUGCCAGCAGCCGCGGUAAUACGGAGGAUUCAAGCGUUAUCCGGAUUUAUUGGGUUUAAAGGGUGCGUAGGCGGUUAGAUAAGUUAGAGGUGAAAUCCCGGGGCUUAACUCCGAAAUUGCCUCUAAUACUGUUUGACUAGAGAGUAGUUGCGGUAGGCGGAAUGUAUGGUGUAGCGGUGAAAUGCUUAGAGAUCAUACAGAACACCGAUUGCGAAGGCAGCUUACCAAACUAUAUCUGACGUUGAGGCACGAAAGCGUGGGGAGCAAACAGGAUUAGAUACCCUGGUAGUCCACGCAGUAAACGAUGAUAACUCGCUGUCGGCGAUACACAGUCGGUGGCUAAGCGAAAGCGAUAAGUUAUCCACCUGGGGAGUACGUUCGCAAGAAUGAAACUCAAGGAAUUGACGGGGGCCCGCACAAGCGGAGGAACAUGUGGUUUAAUUCGAUGAUACGCGAGGAACCUUACCCGGGCUUGAAAGUUAGCGACGGAUCUGGAAACAGGUCUUCCCUUCGGGGCGCGAAACUAG